rnacentral:rRNA from 1 species
GUCCUACGGGGGGCAGCAGUAGGGAAUUUUCGUCAAUGGGCGCAAGCCUGAACGAGCGAUGCCGCGUGAGUGAAGAAGGCCUUCGGGUCGUAAAGCUCUGUUGCGGGGGAAAAAAGGCAGCAUCAGGAAAUGGGUGCUGACUGAUGGUGCCCCGCCAGAAAGUCACGGCUAACUACGUGCCAGCAGCCGCGGUAAUACGUAGGGGGCGAGCGUUAUCCGGAAUGAUUGGGCGUAAGGGGUGCGCAGGCGGUCCGGAAAGUCAGCGGUAAAAGCCCGG